rnacentral:rRNA from 1 species
AAUAAACGCUGGCGGCGUGCUUAACACAUGCAAGUCGAACGUGAGAAUAGCAAUAUUUGAAAGUGGCAAACGGGUGAGUAACACGUGGGAACCUGCCUCGAAGUGGGGGAUAACGAUUGGAAACGGUCGCUAAUACCGCACGGUUCUGCUCUGAUGGGAAUGGAGCAGAUAAAGAUUUAUCGCUUUGAGAGGGGCCCGCGGCCGAUUAGCUAGUUGGUAAGGUAAAGGCUUACCAAGGCGAUUAUCGGUAGCUGGUCUGAGAGGACGAUCAGCCACACGGGAACUGAGACACGGUCCCGACUCCUACGGGGGGCAGCAGUGAGGAAUAUUGGGCAAUGGGCGAAAGCCUGACCCAGCAACGCCGCGUGCAGGAAGAAAGCCUUCUGGGUUGUAAACUGCUUUUGCCAGGGGAUAAAAACACUUUGCGAAGUGGAUUGAAGGUACCUGGUGAAUAAGCCACGGCUAACUACGUGCCAGCAGCCGCGGUAAAGAGCUGUUCGU